ACUACAUGAAGCUGGAAUCGCUAGUAAUCGCGAAUCAGCAUGUCGCGGUGAAUACGUUCCCGGGUCUUGUACACACCGCCCGUCACACCAUGGGAGUUGGUAACGCCCGAAGCCAGUGACCCAACCGGAAGGAGGGAGCUGUCGAAGGUGGGACCGAUAACUGGGGUGAAGUCGUAACAAGGUAUC
rnacentral:rRNA from 1 species